CUGCCCGGUGCAGUCGGCAGUAGCGCCUGGUGGCCGGUGCGGAGCGGCGGGCCGCUCUCGGAGACACCACCGAGCGAGGAUGGUCGGUGACGGCGCCGGCGCGCGGGCGCUGCUCGUGGCCUCUGCCAUGCUGCUGAGCCUCACCGGCCGGCCCACCGACGGAUGUCAACGGCAAACCGGUGACUGGACGGAGAGCGAGCUGGUCUGGCCUCAGAAGCUGCCUCUCUCCUCCGUCUCCGACCUCGACUCCAACACGGUCGACACCGGUCCGCCGCCGGGCUCCACACGGAACCUGCACUACCGGCUGCGCGCGUUCGGCCGCGAGCUGCAGCUGCGCCUGUGGCCCGACCAUGGCGAGAUGGUGGUGCCGCAGCUGCGCGUACAGGCCGAGCACCGCAACUUCAGCGAGAUCCACGGCUUGGGCGCUGACACCAGGCGCUGCUUCUACGUGGGCGUGGUGCGGGACGAUCCCGGCUCCCACGUGGCCCUCAGCCUCUGCAAGGGAAUGACGGGUCAUAUCCGGACCUCUGAAGGCAGCUACCUGAUCUGGCCGUCGGAGGAAGCGCCUCAGAGCACUACCGGCGCCCACCACCUGCAGCGGUACCCGACGGCGCCGCUGGGCUCAGCCCAGGAUGACGACUUCAGGCGCAGUCGCCGCUCCACCAGCGAGCCCUAUUACGUUGAGGUGAUGGUGGCGGCCGACUCCAAGAUGGCCAAAUACCACGGCAGUCAGCUGAAACAAUACAUCCUGGCGCUCAUGUCUACAGUAUCUCGUAUAUACAAGGAUCCCAGCAUUGGCAACUCUAUAACAAUAUCCGUGGUUCGCAUUGUUCUCAUCGACGAAGACGUGCUAGACGCCAACAAGCAGGCCUCAUGGAAGAACGGCAAGUCGGCGUCAGCAGUUUUGCACAGGUUCUGUAAGUGGCAGCAGACCUUGAAUGACCCUGAUGUCAACAGUCAAGCUCAUUUCGACACGGCGGUCCUUCUAACAAGGGAGAACAUUUGCCGUAACUCGCUGCAGUGCGACACACUGGGUUUGGCCGAACUGGGCACUAUGUGUGACCCACGCUCCUCGUGCUCGAUCGUCCAGGACAACGGACUCAGUGCCGCCUUCACCGUGGCCCACGAGCUCGGACACGUACUGAACAUUCCUCAUGACGACGACGUCAAGUGUAAGCCGCACAUGGGACAGAACAAGACCGAGUACGCCAUGUCACGGAUGCUUAAUCACGAUACCCACCCCUGGGCGUGGUCCAACUGCAGUCGACACUUCUUCACUGAGUACCUCCAAGGAGACCACGGGCGCUGUCUGAAGAACAAGCCGUCGGCCUCUGUGAGCGCGGCGAUCGGAGAGCUGCGCCAGAGGGCUGCGGAGGAGGUGACCCAGGUAGUACGACACCCCGGUGAAACGUACAACGCCAGCCAGCAGUGUCAGUUCCUGUUCGGUACAUCCGACAAACACUUCAAAGUCUGCCCGUACAUGCCGGUGUGUAAGCGACUCUGGUGCACCACGGGCGCCGAGGAGGACGGCUGUCGCACGCAGCACAUGCCCUGGGCAGACAGGACGUCCUGCGCCCCCCGAAAGUGGUGUCUCAAAGGAGAGUGUGUCCCCAGAGAGAGCCGACCGGCCGUCCACGGAGGAUGGGGGCAAUGGUCACCCUGGGGAAGCUGCUCGCGGAGUUGCGGCGGCGGCAUCCGACGCUCCCGACGGGAGUGCAACUACCCCACACCCUCGAACGGGGGCGACUACUGCCUGGGCCAGCGGGUCAGGUACGAAUCUUGCAAUCGUCAGGACUGCCCGCCCCACGACGUCGACUUCCGAGAGGCUCAGUGCACCAGCUUCAACGGCAACAACUUCAACAUCAAGGGACUGCCGGCCACCGUCCAGUGGGUGCCGAAAUACACCGGCAUUAAAUCUCAGGACCGCUGUAAGCUGUUCUGUCGGGUGUCCGACUCCAGUGCCUACUACCUCCUCAAAGAGCGCGUGGAAGACGGCACACCGUGUACUCCCGACACAGACGACAUGUGCGUCAAUGGAGUCUGCAUGCCGGCCGGAUGUGAUCACGUGCUCGCCUCCAGCGUCCGCUCUGACCUGUGCGGUGUGUGUGGCGGCGACAACUCGACCUGCCGAGUGGUACGACAGCAGUUCGACAGCUCCUCCCGGCACGUGGUGUACGGCUACAAUUUGGUGGCCACGAUCCCCGCCGGCGCCACCCGUUUGGUGGUGGAGCAGAGCAGUCACGAUCACACCAGCAAGGAUGACAACUACCUCGCGCUGCGGUCUCCGUCCAGCGGCCUGUACAUCCUGAACGGCAACUUCGUGGUCAGCAUGUUCCAGAAGGUGUUCCAGUUCGGCGGCGCGCUGGUGGAGUACUCUGGCUCGGACUCUGUCACGGAGAAAAUCAACUGCACCAAACGGCUGGAGGAGAACCUGGAAAUAUACGUGUUAUCCGUGGGGAGCCUGCACCCUCCUAACAUCGAUUACGAAUACGUGGUCUCGCUCCAACCGACUUCCGACACGUACCGCUGGCAAAUGACCGAGAACUGGAGCGAAUGUGACCGAAUCUGUCAAGGCUCCCAGUACCUGGUCCCCGAGUGUGUGCGCAGCUCCGACCUGGCUCAGGUGUCCGAGGAGCGGUGUCCGGUCAGGACCCGGCCGGCCAGCCAGGACCGACGCUGCAACACCGAAUGUCAACUCAAAUGGGGUAUCACCCACCAGUCCGAGUGCUCGGCUGAGUGCGGCGACGGGGUGCGCAAGAACGCCGUCCGCUGUUUCCAGAAGUUCCGCCACGUGCGGCUGGGCGUCCGACCGGUGGCGGACGACCACUGCGGCCACCUGUCCGACCGACCGCCCCACACCGAGUCCUGCCGCGGGCCGUGCCUGCACGUGCGCUGGGCCUUCGGAGACUGGUCGCAGUGCUCGUUGCCUUGCGGAGGCGGCACGCAGGAGCGAACAGCCAAGUGCACCGGCAGGGACGGCCAGGAGGUGGGCGCCCGGUUCUGUAACCAGAGCAACCCGCACGUGCAGCAGUCGUGUAACACCCAGCCGUGUCCCCAGUGGCGGACUGGAAACUGGGCAGAGUGUUCUAGUACGUGCGGCGAGGGGCGGCGACAGCGGCCCGUGUGGUGUAGCCAACAGGACAAGGCCGUACCUGAGUCGCACUGCGACCUCACACAGAUGCCGUCCAAGGAGGAGAAAUGCCACAGCAAGCCGUGUCCGGAGUGGAGCAAAGGCGACUGGGGAGAGUGUUCUGUGAGCUGCGGUGCCGGCAUCAUGGUCCGUCAGGUGACGUGUAUGUCGUCCGAGAACGUCUCACUGAACGACAGCGAGUGUGGGGAGUCCCGGCCGGCGCUCAGCAGACGCUGCAUGAGACCGCCCUGUCCGACAAUACCAGCGACACCGACAGAGCCCGUGACGACCGAGCUGCCCCCGUCCCCGCGGCCCCGGCUGAGGUCCAAGAGCCGCCGCCGCCGCCGCCGCCGCCGCCGGCGCAGGCUCUGGCUAACGGGCCAGUGGUCCAAGUGUUCGCGGUCGUGCGGUGACGGCCUCCAGACCCGCUCUGUCACCUGCGUGGACCGCCGCUCCAAGAGGCGGCUGCACCGACGGGCGUGCCGCCGACAGAGGGAGCCGGCCAGCUCCCAGUCCUGCCGCGGCUCACGCUGUGGGGAGUGGAAAACGUCCGAGUGGACGCGCUGCUCGUCCUCCUGUGGAAAGGGCAUCCAGCGCCGCGAGGUCACCUGUAUCUCUCCGAACGCCAUUGCUCCCCUGCCGUCGGACCAGUGUGACCCGGGCUCCAAGCCGGUCCCGCAGCAGUCGUGUCGAAGUCACGCGCGGUGUCCGUCCGACGAGCCGCAGAAGAGACAGUGGAUCCGUGGCGCCUGGGGUCCGUGCUCCCGCAGCUGUGGCGGCGGUGUCCGGAGGCGGACGGUACUCUGUCUGGAUAGCAGCUCCAAGACGGGCGCACUGUGUGACUCCCGGGGCCGGCCCAACCGGACCGAGGCGUGUAACGAACACAGAGUGCAGUGUCAGCUGCGGCUCGGGCACUCGCCGGCGGCGGGUGCAGUGUCAGUCCGAGGCCGGCAGUCAGGCCGACCACCACUGCCCGCCGGCCGAGCGGCCGGAGGAGACGGAACCAUGCCACCAGCCGGCCUGUCCCACCGAGCCACUGCCCGUGGCGGCGGCGCUGCGCAGCGAACGCAGGCCCGUCGGACAGCCCUUCAAGUGGGAGGUGGCUGCCUGGUCCAAGUGUUCCAGGUCGUGCGGCGCCGGUGUUCAGCACCGCCCGGUGACCUGUCGCCGGGCCGGGGCUGCGGACGGUCCGGCGGCGCCCGACUCCGCCUGUCCACAGGGCGAGCGGCCGCCGGCCAGCCGCCGCUGUUACCGCGCCUGCCACCACCAGUUCCGCUGGCGCCCCGAGCACUGGACCAAGUGCUCGAGAACCUGCGGCCCGGAUGGGUUCCGCUAUCGUAAGGUGCGCUGUGUCGACCUUUCUGGGAAGCUUGUACACCGGAGAAAGUGCGCCCGCACCAAACGGCCCACCCGUCGGCGCCGCUGCAACCGGAGGCCCUGCGGCCCCACCAGCUGUGCUGAGGUUCGGUCACGGUCACAUCACGCCAAUGACGGCAACUACCAGCUGUUCAUCGGAGGCCGAAACGUCACCAUCUACUGUCACGAUAUGAACGGGCCCGAGCCGGUCGAGUUUAUCACCCUGCCCGUGGAGAAACACCGGCGCCGACACUCCAACUUUGCCGAGAUCGACCCCAAACGUCUGAUCCAGGCCCACACGUGUCCCUACAACGGCAGCCGGGUGCGUCCGGCGCGCUGUGACCUCUGCGUUCGCUCGCGCAGUUCACACGCCGGACUGACUGUGUUCAAACGGGUCAGGCUCAACACCACUUCGCUGCACAUCAUGCCGUGGGACUUUACGUUCUCGCGGCAGCUGCGCGGCCGGCGGGUGAAUUUCGGCGAGGCGGGCGACUGCUACUCGACAGCGGGCUGCCCCCAGGGCCGGUUCAGCAUUAACCUGGCCGGCACCGGGUUCCGACUGGCCAGCGGCCUUACUUGGGUCGGAGUCGGCAGGGAGCCGAGCGUGCACGUCAACAUCGACCAGUCGAGGACUUCGGUGCAAGGCCGGUGCGGGGGCUACUGCGGCACCUGUCAGGCCAGCUCUGCACCAGACGGCAUUCGGUUGGAGCUGGCGCCGUCCUGAGCGACGUCAUCUCCCGCCGGCCGUCGGUUGCGUCGGCGGAGCCCAUCAUGUAUUGGUAUCAUGGAUGCAUCACACAUGGAUCAUGCGUCGUACAUCGACUGGUGCUAGUCAAUCAUCGCUCUCGGCUCGCGUGGGAUGGCCCGUCGGGGCCUGUUGAUCGGCCAGCCCGGUCAUAUACAGCUACGAAGACCCGAGGACUCGAGUGCCAUAGCCCAUAUCACACCGUGAAUGGAGUGCUAUGGACAGAACUUAGGUUCAACGGCCAUCGAAAUGAAGGCAAUACACAAGUGCCACAUUGACUGAGCCCAUGGGCAUGUUGAUUUUGAAUCUCACUGCAAUGGGCGUUUUGUGUUGGUGACGAUGAUUUAGUGCGUCUGUUUAGUUGGCAGCUGGUGUGGUCUUUGGACUGCGUUCACGCUGCUAUUGUGACGUCAUAUGGUGACGUCACAUGACUGCCAUUUUGUCUCUGGCUACUUUGUUGACUUUAUAUGCUUAUGCUUUUAGUGUGGUACGCUGCUUGACCGUCUACCGUAGUGAAACGCGUUUCGUUACACAUUUUAUUUGUUAAAUGCGGAUCAUUCAUUUGUGCGAGUGCCAUCGGAUGCGGUUCUUUCCAGCUUGUAGCUGAAGCGCAAACACUGCCUUUUUGGCAAUGGUACCUUUUUACCAGCGACGCUUUUGGCGUCACCGGCUUUUUUUGUGAGGUGCCAAGUGGAAAGGUGUCUUUAUAUUUUUAAGUUUGUGUGGUGUUUAUGUUACAACAAAACGAGGACCGCUUGCUAAUCCCUGCUAUCUUAGGUAUUUAUGGAGAAUCAUCUAAGAUAAUCUUGAUAAUCUUUUUAGAUGAUAUCGUUGCAACGUAUCCUGAUGCUGCCUUACUCCACUUCUGGGGACGUUUAGUGUAGAUCCGCUCUGUUGUCCAUGUUUGGAAUUAUAUCAUCUUCCAGCCUAUCCAGUACUGAAGCAUCUCGACCCAUUACUAUGUAAAUAUCAGCAAUGUGUUCAUCCCUGAGCGGACUGAAUGCCCGAGCUGCUGCCAUUCGAAGUGCCAAAUAGCGUGCGGCGCCCUCUCAUCUGCGCUAACGGACGCCAGUGUGUCUCGUAGGGUGCCUGUGUUUCCGUGUCACUCAGCAGCCUGUGGUCCCGUUGUGGGGGACCCGGCUGUAAUACCACCGACCGACCGACUGCCAUCCGCUGCUGCCUCCGACUGGCGCUGGAACCGGACGGCAACGCGUCCUAACCCACCAAGAAGCAGCGAUCCUGUCUGCGCUACGUACCCCUGCCACGAACUGCGCUUCGUUACGUAUCCCUGCCACGUCCCACUGCCACAGAAUCAGUGCUGAACAGUUCUCCGCGCCGACAGACCCACCCGAGCCAGCGCACUCAAUGGAGAUAUGAGCAGCUACUCUGGUCGAUAACUCGUCCCCGUUGACUGCUGGGCGGAUGGAGUGUGGUUUGGCCGGCGUUGCGGCCAAUGGUGAAGUACGAGUACAGUCCUACCGUACAAAGUUGCCUGCCACUCAACUGCCACUUUCUUUGUGUUCUGUUUCCCCUAGACUUACGCCGAUUCGAGUCUCUAUUGAGUCUCCGUGUCUGUGCUAUCUGACCUGAGUGAUCUGAGCUUUUGUGAAGCGGUGCUAUGCCACACAGACGAACGCGAAAUUGUCGUGAUGCAGCUGAAUACAAACCGACUCGUAA
rnacentral:misc_RNA from 1 species